AUGGCAUUCAUCGUCGAGCGUCUCCUGACUGGCCGGCCCGGAGAGGAGGUCCAAUCCUUUGGUGGGAACGUGUUGAAGGAACUGUCCGUGGUUCAUGAGAAAGCUCGAAAGGCUAUGAAGAACAUGGUGAAGGCAUUAUGGCCAACCGACGUGGCGCCGGGCAAUAUGGCCGAACUGGCGAAUCGUUAUAAGGGAGCUCGGCGGCGCUUCGAAUUAUGGAAAAUAUCAUCCUGUUCGGAGGGGGCGCGAGAAGCAUGGGCUAUGGUGAAAACCUGGUUCGGGAAACUCGAGCCAGAGCAUAUGGCUCGAGUCGGGCCAGUAGGGCUGGAUGGGCAAGAAAUACCCCUUCAUUUGGUGUAUGACCAAGUGGUGCCCGCAGCUCGAUUGUCCCAGCAGGAUUGUGCAUUAGAUAGCAUAAUAGACAAUGUAGACAAAGAAUUAUGCGUUUGA
rnacentral:rRNA from 1 species